rnacentral:rRNA from 1 species
GACGAACGCUGGCGGCGUGCCUAAUACAUGCAAGUAGAACGCUGAAGGAGGAGCUUGCUUCUCUGGAUGAGUUGCGAACGGGUGAGUAACGCGUAGGUAACCUGCCUGGUAGUGGGGGAUAACUAUUGGAAACGAUAGCUAAUACCGCAUAAUAGCUGUUGUUGCAUGAUAACUGUUUGAAAGGUGCAAUUGCACCGCUACCAGAUGGACCUGCGUUGUAUUAGCUAGUUGGUGGGGUAACGGCUCACCAAGGCGACGAUACAGAGCCGACCUGGGAGGGGGAUCGGCCACCCUGGGAAUGGGACCCGGCCCAGACUCCUUCGGGAGGCAGCCGUAGGGAAUCUUCGGCAAUGGACGGAAGUCUGACCGAGCAACGCCGCGUGAGUGAAGAAGGGUUUCGGAUCGUAAAGCUCUGUUGUAAGAGAAGAACGAGUGUGAGAGUGGAAAGUUCACACUGUGACGGUAUCUUACCAGAAAGGGACGGCUAACUACGUG